AUUGAACGCUGGCGGCAUGCCUUACACAUGCAAGUCGAACGGCAGCACGGGGGCAACCCUGGUGGCGAGUGGCGAACGGGUGAGUAACACAUCGGAACGUGCCCAGUAGUGGGGGAUAGCUCGGCGAAAGCCGGAUUAAUACCGCAUACGACCUACGGGUGAAAGCGGGGGAUCGCAAGACCUCGCGCUAUUGGAGCGGCCGAUGUCAGAUUAGGUUGUUGGUGGGGUAAAGGCCACCAAGCCGACGAUCUGUAGCUGGUCUGAGAGGACGACCAGCCACACUGGGACUGAGACACGGCCCAGACUCCUACGGGAGGCAGCAGUGGGGAAUUUUGGACAAUGGGGGCAACCCUGAUCCAGCAAUGCCGCGUGAGUGAAGAAGGCCUUAGGGUUGUAAAGCUCUUUCGGCGGGGAAGAUGAUGACGGUACCCGCAGAAGAAGCCCGGCUAACUUCGUGCCAGCCGCCGCCGUAAC
rnacentral:rRNA from 1 species